GGGCCCGCACAAGCGGUGGAGUAUGUGGUUUAAUUCGAUGCAACGCGAAGAACCUUACCAGGGUUUGACAUCCUGCGAAUCUCUUGGAAACGAGAGAGUGCCUUCGGGAACGCAGUGACAGGUGGUGCAUGGCUGUCGUCAGCUCGUGUCGUGAGAUGUCGCGUUAAGUCGCUUAACGAGCGAAACCCUUGUCUCUAGUUGCCAGCGCGUAAUGGCGGGGACUCUAGAGAGACCGCCGGCGUUAAGCCGGAGGAAGGUGGGGAUGACGUCAAGUCCUCAUGGCCCUUAUGACUAGGGCUGCACACGUCCUACAAUGGAACGCACAAAGGGAUGCGAAACCGCGAGGUCAAGCAAAUCCCAAAAAUCGUUCCCUAGUUCGGAUUGCAGGCUGCAACUCGCCUGCAUGAAGCUGGAAUCGCUAGUAAUCGCGGGUC
rnacentral:rRNA from 1 species